rnacentral:rRNA from 1 species
AUUGAGCGCUGGCGGCAUGCCUUACACAUGCAAGUCGAACGGCAGCGGGGGAGAAGCUUGCUUUUCCUGCCGGUGAGUGGCGAACGGGUGAGUAAUACAUCGGAACGUGCCCUGUAGUGGGGGAUAACUAGUCGAAAGAUUAGCUAAUACCGCAUACGACCUGAGGGUGAAAGUGGGGGACCGCAAGGGCUCAUGCUAUAGGAGCGGCCGAAGGCUGAUUAGGUAGUUGGUGGGUAAAGGCCUACCAAGGCGACGACCAGUAGCUGGGCUGAGGGGAACAUCAGCCACACUGGGACUGAGACACGGCCCAGACUCCUACGGGAGGCAGAAGUGGGGAAUUUUGGACAAUGGGCGAAAGCCUGAUCCAGCAAUGCCGCGUGUGUGAAGAAGGCCUUCGGGUUGUAAAGCACUUUUGUCCGGAAAGAAAUGGCUCUGGUUAAUACCUGGGGUCGAUGACGGUACCGGAAGAAUAAGGACCGGCUAACUACGUGCCAGCAGCCGCCGUAA